rnacentral:rRNA from 1 species
GUGGGGAAUAUUGGACAAUGGGCGAAAGCCUGAUCCAGCCAUGCCGCGUGUGUGAAGAAGGUCUUCGGAUUGUAAAGCACUUUAAGUUGGGAGGAAGGGCAGUAAGUUAAUACCUUGCUGUUUUGACGUUACCGACAGAAUAAGCACCGGCUAACUUCGUGCCAGCAGCCGCGGUAAUACGAAGGGUGCAAGCGUUAAUCGGAAUUACUGGGCGUAAAGCGCGCGUAGGUGGUUUUGUAAGUUGGAGGUGAAAUCCCCGGGCUCAACCUGGGAAAUGCAUCCAAAACUGAAUGACUAGAGUACGGUAGAGGGUAGUGGAAUUUCCUGGGUAGCGGUGAAAUGCGUAGAUAUAGGAAGGAACACCAGUGGCGAAGGCGACUACCUGGACGGAUACUGACACUGAGGUGCGAAAGCGUGGGGAGCAAACAGGAUUAGAUACCCCAGUAGUCC